UACUUUAAAGAAUACCAUGGUACAUUGAUUGUUUUUUAAUGUAGCAUGACAUUGUUUGACUGGUAGAUAUUUGUCUGUAUUUCAGCUCCUUGUACGGCUCGUAACAUUCGGGCACUAAUUGACUGUCAAUCUGGUGUGGCUAUAUUGUCGUGGCAGUCAGGCACUGGGGCAACACAAUUCACGGCCACAGCAGUAAGUGAAUCUGGCCAUGUACUCAGCUGUGAAAAUAACGAAACUAACUGUGAGCUGACAGGACUGGCCUGUGGAGAGAGCUACAACAUCACUGUGUUAGCAGAAGGACAGACCUGCAACAGCACUGCAACCAUGAGUGGACGCCUGAAUACAGGUCCUUGUGCACCUCAGAAUAUUGAAGUGCAGUACAGCCUGUCUAUUGGCCAGCUGUCUUGGGACAGAAGUACAGGUGCUUCCAUGUACACGGCGCAGGCUGCCACUGAUCUGGGAUCAGUGCUGUCCUGCUCCACCAGUGACACCUCCUGUGCCCUCUAUAAUGUGUCCUGCAGUCAGACAUAUGACAUCACUGUGACAGCACACAACAAUGUCUGCCGAGGAGCUGCUGUGUCUGCAUCAACUACUCUAAACACAGGUACAUUCAGUUUGCAAUUUUACCAGUGAUUUUAGUGCUUUCUGCACAGAUGUUCAACAACUGACUCUUUAUGCAUCACCAGAACCCUGCCCACCCCAGAACGUGCAAACCCAUCUGAAUUGUGCAAGUGAUGUAGGGACCAUGUCUUGGGAGGAGAGUUUGGGGGCAGUGGCAUAUGUGGCUUUCCUGGAGGGUCGCAAUGGACACAGCCUGUCCUGCUCCACAACUAGCUCCAGCUGCAGUGUGACGGGGUUGAUCUGUGGAACGCUUUACAGCACUCAAGUACGCGCCAUUGGAGAAACUUACAACAGCACAGACAGCGAAACAGUUCUCUUCACAUCAGCCCCCUGUCUACCAGAUUCCAGUUCAGUCACUGUUGACAUGAACUGUGAGAAUGCCACGGCAUUGUUCAGGUGGGCCUGGAGUGGCGGAGCUGCAUCCUAUGAGCUCACUGCUAUCAGUGACAAUGGCUACAUAGCCUCCUGCAUUUCCCAAGAGAAUUUCUGUAAUAUCAGCGAACUAGCCUGCGGACAGACUUACACAGUCAGGCUCACAGCAAUCAGUGAUGAAUGUCAGGUUACUCAGGAGACGGGAGUGACCUUCCAAACACGUGAGUAACCAUAUUUUAUAUACAUUAUUUGCAAAAGGGACAAAACACGUGCAGUGUGGCUGUAGAAAGUGAAUAUAGCUGAUAACGGGAAUAUCAAAUUUAACUAAUUUGUCGUUUGACCUCUAGGCCCCUGUGCUCCAUUGCAUGUGAACGUGGAUCUUCAGUGCAAUCCUAGCACAGCUGUAGUGACUUGGGAAGAAAGGGACUAUGUGCUAUACUAUCUUGUUAGUGCCACCCUCAGCACAGGAGAAGCAGAUAAAGUUUGUAACUCUACAACUGACAGCUGUGAAAUGAGUGGGUUGCAGUGUGGAGUGGAGUACGCCUUUACCGUCACUGCCUACAGUAGGCACUGCCAUAGUGACGCCAGCAGCACUGUACACAUUACAACAGGUAGGCCUAGAUGAUUCUAUCAUGCAAAUUUCAUUUUAAUCUAUAUACAGCAGAGAUAGCGAACCCUGCUUCUGUGGCCUAUUUCACA
rnacentral:lncRNA from 12 species